UACGGGGGGGGCAAGCGUUGUUCGGAAUUACUGGGCGUAAAGGGCUUGUAGGUGGCCAACUAAGUCCGACGUGAAAUCCCUAGGCUUAACCUAGGAACUGCGUCGGAUACUGGAUGGCUUGAAUCCGGGAGAGGGAUGCGGAAUUCCAGGUGUAGCGGUGAAAUGCGUAGAUAUUGGAAGGAACACCAGUGGCGAAGGCGACUACCUGGAUAGAUACUGACACUGAGACACGAAAGCGUGGGGAGCAAACGGG
rnacentral:rRNA from 1 species